AGUAGUGAAGCCCCCUCCACUCUCGAAACUAGUCGAUCUCUGGAUCUUCGCCUAUCUUCGGAAACUCUGGACAAAGUCAUGGAGUCACGUGGAAGGCGUGGAUGCCAUUUUGUCAUUUUAUUCUAAUCAAAGAAGUUAUUGAGUAAUUUUGAAUAACUCAAAAAUGGUUCUGGAAAAUUUGAACGAGAGCAACGAAGACAACCAUACAAUGGAUUGUGACGCAGAUGAGUCGACACAAAUUCAAAAGAAAAUUAUCGAGAAAAAAGGUAAAAAGAUUAAAAGAGGAAUAAUCUAUCUGUCCACAAUUCCGAAAUACAUGAACGUCACGAUGAUCCAAGAGAUGUUUUCUGCUUAUGGGAAAAUAGGCAGAGUAUAUCUGCAGCUAGUCGACAAUGAGACACAAUCAGUGAAACAUAAAAAGAAAACCAAGAAAAUAAUCAAGUAUUUUACUGAAGGUUGGGUAGAAUUUGAAAGUAAAAAAGUAGCAAAAUUUGUAGCAGAGACAUUAAACAAUACCAAAGUAUCUACGAGAAAGAAAAGCAAAUUCUACGAUAUUAUGUGGAAUAUAAAGUAUUUGCCUAGAUUUAAAUGGGUUCAUUUGAGUGAACGAUUAGCAUAUGAACGUGCAGUCCAUAAGCAAAGACUUCUAACAGAAAUAGCACAAGCUAAGAGAGAAAUUAAUUUCUUCUCGUAUAAUGUAGACAGAAGUAAAAAGCUGCGUAGAAAACAUGAACAAGGGGAGAAGACAACAUUUGAAUUGCCUGAAGUUAAGCAAAGGGAUACUGAUAAUGAAAUAAGAAACAGAAAAGCAAAUACGCAAGUAGAAGACAGAACAGAGUUCCUUAAAUCAAUAUUUGGAUAAAAUUUGUUAAAAUAAAACUGUGUAAAAGCUAAGAAAGUUAUGGAAAUAACAUUCAGUAAACAAAAAAUGCUCACAAAAGAGAUAGGCGUAGUUCACCACUGAUGAAGAAUUCAAGACAUCAUCACAAGAAAUUUUAUUAGAUGAAUCGGUUGUUGUACUAAGCUAACAGCGUUGUCCACAGCGUUGAUGUUAUCUACAACAAAUAUGAACGUGAUUGAAAUAGGAGAGAUCUCUGUACGCAACUGGCUCUCCUACUUAUUUUUCUGCCCGGCUCCCAACGCACGCGACCCCCGAAUAGCCUCGGUCAGCCUUCUGAUUGGCCGUCGAUGGUUUAGAGAGACCGUCGAUCGCCGACGAAGACAAAGCGAUAAGCGUGGCAUUUUCCGCCAGGAUCGCCGGCGCCGACGAUCCUUUGUAUUGCCGCGCUCAUGGCCUUCACACACGAAUCGACGGAAGACGUAAAACGUAAAUCGUAACCGUAGUACGUGAGCGCCAUCACACACGACUGCCUUAAGCUGAUAAUCAAUAAAGAAAACACCUUUCCUCAAUUAUGGAUGAUGGAGAGGAAAUGUUGGGACUUUUGGUUCUG